AACCCAUGGUGAGGGCACCUUCUCAGAAAGUCAUUGUAUCUCUCUCAUGCAUCGUAAAGUGUUUCUAAAUCCAUCUACAAGAAAAAAGAGAUAUCAUUACAUAAUUU
rnacentral:snoRNA from 1 species